AGAGUUUGAUCAUGGCUCAGGAUAAACGCUGGCGGCGUGCCUAAUGCAUGCAAGUCGAACGGGAGCCUUUUCGGAGGUCGACCGUGGCGGACGGGUGAGGAACACGUGGCUAACCUGCCCUGAUCUCGGGGAUAACCACUGGAAACGGUGGCUAAUACCGGAUGUGUUCGGUGAGGGGGACCUUGCUGAACAAAGCGUUAAGGAAGCGGAUCAGGAGGGGGCUGCGGCCGAUUAGCUAGCUGGUGGGGUAACGGCUUACCAGGGCAACGAUCGGUAGCUGGUCUGAGAGGAUGAUCAGCCACACGGGGACUGAGACACGGCCCCGACUCCUACGGGAGGCAGCAGCAAGGAAUUUUCCACAAUGGGCGCCAGCCUGAUGGAGCAACGCCGCGUGGGGGAUGACGCGUUUCGGCGUGUAAACCCCUUUUCCGGGGGACGAAAGCAAUGACGGUACCCUGGGAAGAAGGCCCGGCUAACUACGUGCCAGCAGCCGCGGUAAGACGUAGGGGCCGAGCGUUGUCCGGAGUUACUGGGCGUAAAGGGCGCGCAGGCGGUGUGUCGCGUCGGAUGUGAAAGCCCCCCGCUCAACGGGGGAGGGUCAUUCGAAACGGGCACACUGGAGGCAGGGAGAGGUCGGUGGAAUUCCCGGUGUAGUGGUGAAAUGCGUAGAUAUCGGGAGGAACACCAGUGGCGAAGGCGGCCGACUGGACCUGACCUGACGCUGAGGCGCGAAGGCGUGGGGAGCGAACGGGAUUAGAUACCCCGGUAGUCCACGCAGUAAACGAUGGACACUAGGUGUGGCGCGAGUUGACCCGUGCCGUGCCGGAGCUAACGCAGUAAGUGUCCCGCCUGGGGAGUACGGCCGCAAGGCUAAAACUCAAAGGAAUUGACGGGGCCCCGCACAAGCAGCGGAGCGUGUGGUUUAAUUCGACGCAACGCGCAGAACCUUACCAGGACUUGACAUCCCGGGAAUCCCCCGGAAAGGGGGGAGUGCUCUUCGGAGAGCCCGGAGACAGGUGUUGCAUGGCUGUCGUCAGCUCGUGUCGUGAGAUGUUGGGUUAAGUCCCGCAACGAGCGCAACCCCUGUGGCUAGUUACGUGGGUGUCUAGCCAGACUGCCGUGCAGACGGAGGAAGGCGGGGAUGACGUCAAGUCAGCAUGACCCUGAUGUCCUGGGCAACACACACGCUACAAUGGCCGGUACAGAGGGCAGCCAAGCCGUAAGGCGGAGCCAAUCCCAGAAAGCCGGUCUCAGUACGGAUUGGGGGCUGCAACUCGCCCCCAUGAAGGCGGAGUUGCUAGUAACCGCUGGUCAGCAUACAGCGGUGAAUAUGUUCCCGGGGCUUGUACACACCGCCCGUCACGUCAUGGAAGCCGGUAACACCUGAAGUCGGUGAGCCAACCGUAAGGAGGCAGCCGCCGAGGGUGGGACCGGUGACUGGGACGAAGUCGUAACAAGGUAGCCGUA
rnacentral:rRNA from 1 species